rnacentral:rRNA from 1 species
GACGAACGCUGGCGGCGUGCUUAACACAUGCAAGUCGAACGGAAAGGCCCUGCUUUUGUGGGGUUCUCGAGUGGCGAACGGGUGAGUAACACGUGAGUAACCUGCCCUUGACUUUGGGAUAACUUCACGAAACUGGGGCUAAUCCCGGAUAGCAGACCCUGCUGCAUGGUGGGCGUUGGAAAGUUUCGGCGGUUGGGGAUGGACUCGCGGCUUAUCAGCUUGUUGGUUGGGUAGUGGCUUACCAAGGAUUUGACGGGUCGCCGGCCUGGGAGGGUGACCGGCCACAAGAGGACUGAGAUACGGCGCAGACUCGUACGGGAGGCAGCAGUGGGAAAUAUUGCACAAUGGGCGCGAGUCUGAUGCAGCAACGCCGCGUGCGGAAUGACGUCCUGCGGGUUGUGAACCGCUUUCGCCUGUGACGAAGCGUUAGUGACGGUAAUGGGUGAAGAAGCACCGGCUAACUACGUG